AAGGGGUCAAAUGACAGCACGGUGAAAACAACCAUAGUGAGUGAGGGUUAAGAUAAUCAAUACUACUUUCAUAACUAUAGUAAAUGCGCACUUGUUGGUCCGGACGGUUUGCGUUUAAUUGGGUUGCUGUAAAGCUACAGUAGAGAGAGAAAGGGAAAGAGAAGAGGGAUAGAGAAGAAGCGAGCUUUUGGAGCUCGUUCAGGUGUUUCAAGAAAUCUUGAGAAAAGCUUUGAGUUUUAACCAAACCUGUGUUGUUUUGUUGUGUGAAGUGGAAUUAUUUCUCUUUGCCAUUUCCUCUGGUGUCUUUUGUGGUGUGUCUAUUUUAUGCGGUGCCACAUUUUGGGAUCUGGGUUUCCUGGUCUAGUGUCUGAGCUUUUGAUUUUCCUCUCUUUAUUGGUUUCUUGCAAUUUGUUUGUGACUAAUCUAUGUAGAUGGGGGUUUUUUUUUUUACCAUUUCUUGAAUCCUAGGUCUUGAUUUUCUUUGGGAUUUAGCUUUCUUUCUUGUUCUCCUGUAUCUGGAAAAUGUUAUGAUGGAUUACUGAUUUCAUACAUUUUCAUCUGCAAAUGUUUCCUCUCUUCCUCUCUUUUGUUCUCCCCUGUGAUUUCUCUUCCUCUCUCGUAUUUUGAAUCUCGAAGGUCAAAAUAUAGGGCUUUGGUUUUAAACUGGCUUUAGAUCAGCUAAAGUUGAGCUCUUUUGACCCAGUCUCUGGUCCCUGUGUUUGAAUUUCCUCUUAAAGCUCAGGCUCAGGGGAUUUUCUUUUUGUCAUCCAGGAUUUUUAUUUUUGAAAGCAAAGUCUGAUUUGAGUAUGCUUUUGCCC
rnacentral:lncRNA from 1 species